rnacentral:rRNA from 1 species
AGCAGCCGCGGUAAUUCCAGCUCCAAUAGCGUAUAUUAAAGUUGUUACAGUUAAAAAGCUCGUAGUUGAAUUUCGGGAUCAAUAUGUUGGUCGUGCCUUCGGUACGUACUGGCAUCAUUGAUUUCUCCCUUCUGACGAACCACGAUGUCAUUAAUUUGGUGUCAUGGGGAGUCAGGACUGUUACUUUGAAAAAAUUAGAGUGUUUAAAGCAGGCUCACGCUUGAAUACAUUAGCAUGGAAUAAUGAAAUAGGACGUUUGACCCUAUUUUGUUGGUUUCUAGGAUCAACGUAAUGAUUAAUAGGGAUAGUUGGGGGCAUUAGUAUUCAAUUGUCAGAGGUGAAAUUCUUGGAUUUAUUGAAGACUAACUACUGCGAAAGCAUUUGCCAAGGAUGUUUUCAUUAAUCAAGAACGAAAGUUAGGGGAUCGAAGACGAUCAGAUACCGUCGUAGUCUUAACCAUAAACUAUGCCGACUAGGGAUCGGAUGAUGUUAAUUUUUAAUGACUCAUUCGGCGUCCG